GGUUUUAUAUUCAAUUAUGAUUUUAGAUUGCAAAUUUAAAGGUACAUUUAUGUUAAGGCUU
rnacentral:tRNA from 1 species